rnacentral:rRNA from 1 species
AUGAAGUGCCCUUCCGAUUCCUCGGCUGGCCGUGAUCCCUGGGCUCCUCCUCCGGCUUCUGGCGGUGGCGGCUCCAGCGAGCCAGCCAAGAAGCGGCAGCGGACCUCGAGCUCGAGCCAGGCCGAGGCAUCCUCGUCCUCACAGCCUCCACCGGCGCCGCCGGGGGACGCGAGAGAGGUGCCGGAUCUGGGGGAGGACACGAUGUUCGAGGUGCUGCGGCGGGCGGAGCCGCGGACGCUGGCCGCCGCGGCGUGCGUGAGCCGGGGCUGGCGGGUCCUCGCGCAGGACGAGCGGCUGUGGGAGGCACCGUGCGUGAGGGAGUGGACAGUGGACCGACCUCGGCUUCUCGGAACAGCUGCUCCGCGCCGUCGUGCUCUCUUUCGGCGGCUUCCGCCGCCUGCACGCCAUCUCCAUCCAGGCCCGACGGCGGUUCGGCGUUGGCUGCGGGAACUGGCACGGCGUGCGGACGCCGGGACAGGGGAGGAGGAGGGGGGUGCCGUGGACCGACGACGAGCACAGGUUGUUUCUCUUAGGCCUGAAGACGUACGGAAAAGGGGAUUGGAGGAAAAUAUCACGCAACUUCGUGCGGACGAGGACGCCGACGCAGGUGGCCAGCCACGCUCAGAAGUACUUUAUCAGGCUCAGCUCAGGGACGGCAAGGAGGUCGAGCAUCCACGACAUCACCACAGUUCACCUGACCGACGACCAGCCUCCCUCGCCGUCCCAGUGAUUGAUGAUCAACCAGUCCAGCGCACCGGCUCAGCACGGCAACGGGGCAGUUCUCGCUGCCAGCCGACACCAAGCAGCACGGCGCGUCGAGCGCGCCCUUCAGUUCGCCGAACCGGGCUCUCGGGAUGCCGAACUACGGCAGGGUUUGCAAGAUCAAGGCCUGCAGUGUGGUUCUCUACAAUGUCUACAUGA